rnacentral:rRNA from 1 species
GUGGAUGAGUGGCGAACGGGUGAGUAACACGUGAGUAACCUGCCCCUGACUGUGGGAUAAGCCUGGGAAACUGGGUCUAAUACCGCAUAUGACAUGUCCUCGCAUGAGGGUGUGUGGAAAGGUUUUUCUGGUUGGGGAUGGGCUCGCGGCCUAUCAGCUUGUUGGUGGGGUAACGGCCUACCAAGGCGACGACGGGUAGCCGGCCUGAGAGGGCGACCGGCCACACUGGGACUGAGACACGGCCCAGACUCCUACGGGAGGCAGCAGUGGGGAAUAUUGCACAAUGGGGGAAACCCUGAUGCAGCGACGCCGCGUGAGGGAUGACGGCCUUCGGGUUGUAAACCUCUUUCAGCAGGGAAGAAGCCCCCUUGGGGGUGACGGUACCUGCAGAAGAAGUACCGGCUAACUACGUGCCAGCAGCCGCGGUAAUACGUAGGGUACAAGCGUUGUCCGGAAUUAUUGGGCGUAAAGAGCUCGUAGGCGGUUCGUCGCGUCUGCUGUGGAAACGCAAGGCUCAACCUUGCGCGUGCAGCGGGUACGGGCGUAACUAGAGUGCAGUAGGGGAGUCUGGAAUUCCUGGUGUAGCGGUGAAAUGCGCAGAUAUCAGGAGGAACACCGGUGGCGAAGGCGGGACUCUGGGCUGUUACUGACGCUGAGGAGCGAAAGCAUGGUGAGCGAACAGUAUUAUAUACCCUU